rnacentral:rRNA from 1 species
CGCGUAGGCGGUUGUGUAAGUCAGAUGUGAAAUACUUCGGCUUAACCGGAGAACUGCAUUUGAAACUGCACAGCUAGAGUACAGGAGAGGGAGACGGAAUUCCCGGUGUAGAGGUGAAAUUCGUAGAUAUCGGGAGGAACACCAGUGGCGAAGGCGGUUUCCUGGCCUGAUACUGACGCUGAGGCGCGAAAGCGUGGGGAGCAAACA